UGGCCGUAAACGAUGUGGACUUGGUGUUGGGAUGGCUCCGAGCUGCCCCAGUGCCGAAGGGAAGCUGUUAAGUCCACCGCCUGGGAAGUACGGUCGCAAGGCUGAAACUUAAGGAAUUGGCGGGGGAGCACCACAACGGGUGGAGCCUGCGGUUUAAUUGGACUCAACGCCGGGAAGCUCACCGGAUAAGACAGCGGAAUGAUUGCCGGGCUGAAGACCCUGCAUGACCAGCUGAGAGGAGGUGCAUGGCGUAGUCGUGU
rnacentral:rRNA from 1 species